rnacentral:misc_RNA from 1 species
GCAGCUCCUUCCAUGCUUCUUCAGGUAUAUUCCCUCCUUUAUUUCCCCUGCACCAUUGAAAAACAGUAUCAUUUUCUGCAAUUGAAAGACAGUGACAACAAGAAAUGACCAGAAAGAUAUCAUCUACAUUUUCACACCUUAAAGGGCCCAGUGGGCGGAAAUCCCUUUUUUUUUUUAAUGUGUGUGAGUUUCUUUUUCUGAAACUGAUGCAUGUUUCUGGUUUGUGUUCUUAU